rnacentral:tRNA from 1 species
GCGCCCGUAGCUCAAUUGGAUAGAGCAUCAGACUACGAAUCUGAGGGCUGGAGGUUCGAGUCCUUCCGGGCGCGCCA